rnacentral:rRNA from 1 species
GACAGAGGAUGCAAGCGUUAUCCGGAAUGAUUGGGCGUAAAGCGUCUGUAGGUGGCUUUUUAAGUCCGCCGUCAAAUCCCAGGGCUCAACCCUGGACAGGCGGUGGAAACUACCAAGCUGGAGUACGGUAGGGGCAGAGGGAAUUUCCGGUGGAGCGGUGAAAUGCGCAGAUAUCAGGAGGAACACCGGUGGCGAAGGCGGUUCUCUGGGCAUUACCUGACGCUGAGGAGCGAAAGUGUGGGGAGCGAACAGG